rnacentral:rRNA from 1 species
CCUACGGGUGGCAGCAGUGGGGAAUAUUGGACAAUGGGCGAAAGCCUGAUCCAGCCAUGCCGCGUGUGUGAAGAAGGCCUUCGGGUUGUAAAGCACUUUCAGUGGGGAAGAAAGCCUUGGGGCUAAUACCCUCGAGGAAGGACAUCACCCACAGAAGAAGCACCGGCUAACUCCGUGCCAGCAGCCGCGGUAAUACGGAGGGUGCGAGCGUUAAUCGGAAUUACUGGGCGUAAAGCGCGCGUAGGCGGUCUGAUAAGCCGGUUGUGAAAGCCCCGGGCUCAACCUGGGAACGGCAUCCGGAACUGUCAGGCUAGAGUGCAGGAGAGGAAGGUAGAAUUCCCGGUGUAGGAGUGAAAUGCGUAGAGAUCGGGAGGAAUACCAGUGGCGAAGGCGGCCUUCUGGACUGACACUGACGCUGAGGUGCGAAAGCGUGGGUAGCAAACAGGAUUAGAUACCCGAGUAGUC